rnacentral:rRNA from 1 species
CAGCACCUCAAGUGGUCAGGAUGAUUAUUGGGCCUAAAGCAUCCGUAGCCGGCGCUGUAAGUUUUCGGUUAAAUCUGUACGCUCAACGUACAGGCUGCCGGGAAUACUGCAGCGCUAGGGAGUGGGAGAGGUAGACGGUACUCGGUAGGAAGGGGUAAAAUCCUUUGAUCUAUUGAUGACCACCUGUGGCGAAGGCGGUCUACCAGAACACGUCCGACGGUGAGGGAUGAAAGCUGGAGGAGCAAACCGGAUUAGAGACCCGCGUAGUCC